rnacentral:precursor_RNA from 1 species
GAGGACCGUAUCAUGGAAGAGGAUUGAACAGAGAUGAAGUAGACAGUAUGUUGGAUAAAUCUGGAGUAAAGAACCCAGCAAUUGGUAAAGAUGAGAAUAUAUCGCCUCAAGUAAAAGGAGAUGAAGACAUGGGAGAUGAAAUUGACAGUAUGUUGGCUACAUCUGGAGGUCUUUUCUCCUGAGAACACGGGACUCCAGCAUCUUCGGAUUCUGCUCUUGGAGGUGUGAGUCCCUGCCUCUCUGCACAGGGGAACUUAUGUCUCUCCACAUGUCCGCAAAUGUCUACCCAAGAUUAUACAUCUUCCAAAGGCUUUCAAAUACUUCUUUACAUAAACAAGGGGUUUGCCCCACAUCCUCUAUAUUGCAGAAAACAAGACUAGGCUCUACCUCUGUAGAUCAAGCACGACUGAAAUCCGUGCUCUCAAAAGAUGCUGGGGAGAAAGAGUGCCAUUCUUCACAAAUGCUGGAUCCUGCAGAUGUUCACCAUCUCAUGAGUAGGGCCUCAGAAGUCCCCCACCAUGCCAAAGGAUUCACAGACCUACCAAAUCUUUGAAAACCCCAUCAGAAAAGGCCCCUUCUGCCCAAGACUUGGAUAUUAAACAAAGUCAAAGAAGUAUCCUAGCCAUCAACAGUCAACCCAAACUGUUGGAAGAAGGAAUAUGUUUCUGCCUUGUCUCUCCCAAAUGAACACAAACUAUGAAAAUAUAAAACUCUGAAUCAGGAUUGGAAACUUAUGAUCAUCACUGGAAACAUUCUCCACUAUAUUAAGUACCAGGAUCUUUUACCUUGGACAGAAGUGUAUAUGGCAACUUCACAGUCUGCCUCAAGGAGAUUCUGUCCUCUCCUUGCAGUAGGGCCUAUGUGUGCAGCUGAACAGAGUGUUGAGGAGACGUCAGUGAUUUUAUAACUACUUAUCACGUUGGGAGAUUGUUGUGAUGAUUGCCUGGACUCUCAGAUGUUACACAGGCUGCAUCACUGGACUGAAAGUGAAUGGCCCAUGUGUUGCCACUGAUGUGAGCCAUUUGCCUGUUGUGCUUCAA